rnacentral:lncRNA from 1 species
CCAGGGUCAAUGACAGCUGGAGACCAACAAUGGCAACGAAAACGGCUCAAUCUGUCCCUGAACUCACUAUAUAACCAAGGAUGACCUUAAACGUCUCCUGUCCCCACCUUCAGAACAUGGGACUUACAAGCAUGUGCCACCGCAUCCAAGAUGGCUUUCAAAAGCUGCCAAACAGAGGCACUGAUGUCCUUAAUUAAUGCCACUGACCCAGUGAAUUGGGAUUCUGGAUGAUGUGUCCAAGACACCGAAUUGACUUUAGAUAGGACUUGGCUCCAUUUGCUGGGCUCCAGGAGACUCCAAAAGCUACAGUGGCGGUCCAUGUGAGGGGCAUGCAUA